AACCGUUCAAAGAAAUGAUUUAAAAGGCCGAUAUUGUCACACGAAUUCAUGUCCACCAUGAGUGUAUGCAAACCUCUUACCACAACUGUAUGUGAGAGGGGAAAUAUGUGCAUGAAGGAAAAUAUAUAUAUAUACAAAGAAACAUGAUGGGUAACAUUAAUAAAGCCCAAGUGUCCCCUGAGUUACUGACAAAUGAGUAAAACUGAACCGGUUUAACAGAAAGGGGAGGCUGACUCGGCUCUGAGAAUGGAGAACAGUUUGAGAA